rnacentral:rRNA from 1 species
UACAGAGGGGGCAAGCGUUGUUCGGAAUUACUGGGCGUAAAGGGCGCGUAGGCGGCCUUCUAAGUCGAACGUGAAAUCCCUGGGCUCAACCCAGGAACUGCGUCCGAUACUGGAAGGCUUGAAUCCGGGAGAGGGAUGCAGAAUUCCAGGUGUAGCGGUGAAAUGCGUAGAUAUCUGGAGGAAUACCGGUGGCGAAGGCGGCAUCCCGGACCGGCAUUGACGCUGAGGAGCGAAAGCUAGGGUAGCAAACGGG